rnacentral:rRNA from 1 species
CUAUAGCUUGACACUGAACAUUGAGCCUUGAUGUGUAGGAUAGGUGGGAGGCUUUGAAGCGUGGACGCCAGUCUGCGUGGAGCCAACCUUGAAAUACCACCCUUUAAUGUUUGAUGUUCUAACGUUGGCCCCUGACCGGGGUUGCGGACAGUGUCUGGUGGGUAGUUUGACUGGGGCGGUCUCCUCCCAAAGCGUAACGGAGGAGCACGAAGGUUAGCUAAUCCUGGUCGGACAUCAGGAGGUUAGUGCAAUGGCAUAAGCUAGCUUGACUGCGAGCGUGACGGCGCGAGCAGGUGCGAAAGCAGGUCAUAGUGAUCCGGUGGUUCUGAAUGGAAGGGCCAUCGCUCAACGGAUAAAAGGUACUCCGGGGAUAACAGGCUGAUACCGCCCAAGAGUUCAUAUCGACGGCGGUGUUUGGCACCUCGAUGUCGGCUCAUCACAUCCUGGGGCUGAAGUAGGUCCCAAGGGUAUGGCUGUUCGCCAUUUAAAGUGGUACGCGAGCUGGGUUUAGAACGUCGUGAGACAGUUCGGUCCCUAUCUGCCGUGGGCGCUGGAGAAUUGAGGGGGGCUGCUCCUAGUACGAGAGGACCGGAGUGGACGCAUCACUGGUGUUCGGGUUGUCAUGCCAAUGGCACUGCCCGGUAGCUAAAUGCGGAAGAGAUAAGUGCUGAAAGCAUCUAAGCACGAAACUUGCCCCGAGAUGAGUUCUCCCUGAGACUU